GCAACACAGAGCUUGAAUUAGAUAAAGUCUCCUCUCUCUUAAGGCACAUGUACACAGAAGAACACAAUGCACCCAAAAUUUUGUAAUCAAAGAUCCAAAUUUCCAUCAUAAUCACUAUAAUACAUGCUGGAAGCUUAUUAAUGUAUUAGAGGGAAAAGGGAGGGGGGAAUCAUAUUUUAGUGUUCCUCAAAUUGAUCUCCUUCAUCAUGCCUGUCACAUCAUUAUAAACAAAGAAUAGUGUUUAAUUGUUCAACAUAGAUUAGCAGCACUAUCAAAUAUCAACUGACACAAUACACCCAUUAUUGUUUAAGCUGUUAGUUUUCCAUACACUAAAAUAUCACUAGAACCAUACACCUAUGACAUUGACAUCAGACAAAGAAACCAAAACUACAGAUCAAU
rnacentral:misc_RNA from 1 species